rnacentral:rRNA from 1 species
CGGCGUGGAUUAGGCAUGCAAGUCGAACGAGGAAGUGCCCCGUAAGGGGCGCAAGCCUAGUGGCGAAAGGGUGAGUAAUGCAUUGAUAACCUGCCUUUGAGAUGGGAAUAACUGCGUUUCGAGUAAUCGGAACUACCGAAAGGGCUGCUAAUACCCAAUAAUACUAUAGGUGCAAAAGCACUUGUGGUCAAAUGCUAGGAAUUCUGUUCCUUGUGCUUAAAGAGGGGUUAAUGUCCUAUCAGCUAGUUGGUGGGGUAAUGGCCUACCAAGGCAAAGACGGGUAGCCGGCUUGAGAGGGUGGUCGGCCACACUGGGACUGAGACACUGCCCAGACUCCUACGGGAGGCUGCAGUCGAGAAUCUUUCGCAAUGCCCGAAAGGGUGACGAAGCGACGCCGCGUGUGGGAAGAAGGCCUUCGGGUUGUAAACCACUGUCGGGAGUUAGGAAAUGCAGAUGCGUUAAUAGCGCACUUGCUUGACUAAGGCUCCAGAGGAAGCCACGGCUAACUCUGUGCCAGCAGCCGCGGUAAU